UACGGAGGGUGCGAGCGUUGUCCGGAAUUACUGGGCGUAAAGCGUGCGCAGGCGGUGAUUUAAGACAGGUGUGAAAUCCCCGGGCUUAACCGGGGAACUGCGUCUGAUACUGGAUGGCUUGAGUUCGGGAGAGGGAUCCGGAAUUCCAGGUGUAGCGGUGAAAUGCGUAGAUAUCUGGAGGAACACCGGUGGCGAAGGCGGCAUCCUGGACCGACACUGACACUGAGGAGCGAAAGCCAGGGGAGCAAACGGG
rnacentral:rRNA from 1 species